rfam:Cavia porcellus supercont2_16 genomic scaffold, whole genome shotgun sequence.
GGGGAUUUAGCUCAGCGGCAUAAGCACCUGCCUUGCAAGCAAGUGGUCGUGAGUUCAAUCCCCA